rnacentral:sRNA from 1 species
GCUCUUUAGUGUUGGACUGUACAAGUCUAGUCGGGUGAUUAGCCAGACUCUAACUUAUUGAACGGG